GUGAGGAAUUUUCCGCAAUGGGCGAAAGCCUGACGGAGCAAUGCCGCGUGAAGGAUGAAGGCCUAUGGGUUGUAAACUUCUUUUCUUAGAGAAGAAUAUUGACGGUAUCUGAGGAAUAAGCAUCGGCUAACUCUGUGCCAGCAGCCGCGGUAAGACAGAGGAUGCAAGCGUUAUCCGGAAUGAUUGGGCGUAAAGCGUCUGUAGGUGGCUUCAAAAGUCUCCUGUCAAAGAUCAGGGCUUAACCCUGGGCCGGCAGGAGAAACUCUGAGGCUAGAGUUUGGUAGGGGCAGAGGGAAUUCCCGGUGGAGCGGUGAAAUGCGUAGAGAUCGAGAGGAACACCAAAGGCGAAAGCACUCUGCUGGGCCACAACUGACACUGAGAGACGAAAGCGAGGGGAGCAAAAGGGAUUAGAAACCCCAGUAGUCC
rnacentral:rRNA from 1 species